GUAUCUUCUCUGCUUUGGCAUAUUUUUGUUGUUGUUGUUGAUUCCUUCUGAAUCUCUUUGUGUGUGUGAUAUUAAUAUAAACAAUGGAAG
rnacentral:ribozyme from 17 species